UACGAAGGUCCCGAGCGUUGUUCGGAAUCACUGGGCGUAAAGGGAGCGUAGGCGGCGCGGUAAGUCAGAUGUGAAAUCCCGGGGCUCAACCCCGGAACUGCAUCCGAUACUGCCGUGCUAGAGGAUUGGAGAGGUAGCUGGAAUUCUUGGUGUAGCAGUGAAAUGCGUGGAGAUCAAGAGGAACACCGGUGGCGAAGGCGGCAUCCUGGACCGACACUGACGCUGAGGCGCGAAAGCUAGGGUAGCAAACGGG
rnacentral:rRNA from 1 species